ensembl:lncRNA
GCUGAAGGUGAUAAGUAAUAAUGGUAAUUAUUAAAGAAAAACCCAAAAAACAACCAGCAACGAUACUGCUAAACAAGCCCAAGUGACUUUUUAAAUCAUUUUAUUUGGCAAAAUAAUCACAAAGUUAUGAAAAGAUGACCCCUGAGAAAAGGAAAUUUUCAUCUCAGGCAGUGCAUUAUUACAGCAAACAUCGACAGCUUUGAGAAAUGGCAGCCAGAAGUAAAAUGGCAAAAGCAACUUGAAUGUAAUGCAGGGAAACAUGUCUGAAAUUCUGACUGUGAACACCCAAUGUCCAACAAAACAAACAGCAAGUAAAAGGUUGUAAACAAAAUGUCACAAGGAUGACGAGUGGUGGAAGACAAGGAGCUGCCAGCAGGUCUGGGGAUGGCUGGGCUGUUCUAGGCAGGUUUUUGUCUGUUUGCUGGUUUCUUUCUUUCUUUCAUUUUUUUACCAUCUUCAGAGAUGUACAUGAGAAGACGCGGGGAAAGUUUCACAGUCGUUUGGGUCGAAAGACAAAAAAAAAUCAAAUGGGCAUUAAAGUAUCAGGAGAUUUUGGCUGGAAAAACACAAGGCAGCAGUGGAAGGUCAGUCCUGAAGGAGCUGUGAUACGCCUAUAGCAGCAGAUGGAAAAGAAAAAGGGAAGGAAAAGAAUAAAUUCCCAGUAGCCUGGUAGUUGAGAAUGGGCAGCCUGGGGAGUGAGAAGUGCUGCGGGAGCAGUGGGCCCCUGCUCCGAUGUGGAGAAGCAGAACAGCUGGAGACUGCUCAGAGAGGCAAUGGAUGGAGUCUCCUAUAGUGGGGAAAGCUUGAAACAUGGAACCUUUGGCAGCAGAAGGGCUCCUUCUCCCUUACAUCUGAAAUUACAGAACCAGUGCUAACCGUAACAGUCAAGAGGAACAAGCUCCAGGCUCUAAGGAAGAUCUUAGGGCCCCCUGGGCUGAUGGUGCAUUAACACCCUGAGAAAGGGCACGUUGGACACCCAUCUGCAGUUACGCAGGCAAUACCUGCUUGUGGGAUACGCUGUCACCAGAGGUUGGCUGCUAACAGACCCUGAUCCAGAAUGUUUCAGGGAGAGCACUAAGGCUUGUCCAGGCCUUGAACCCACCCUGCCCUCAUCCACAAACAGCAACGCUGGCUCAGGAGCCCAACAAAUUGAGAACAUUCAGGGGGCGGGGGUGAAGGACAAGGGACCUCAGGUCAUCUUCCUGACCUUACAGGUACAGAGGAAGGGUUGGGUAGAAGCAGAUUUAUCCUGCAUGCUAACUGCUAUGUGCUGCGUGUAUCAGAUCAGGAGUUUGUGCCUUCAAAUAAACCACCACGGCCAUUUUCCUCACUGAGGUUCUUCAAGACAAGGACAAAACCCCUCUAUCUCUCUUGGGUAAACUAAAUAUAGUGAGUCCUUGUGGCCACCCACUAUAACACAGUUUUAACUACACCUUCAAUCUCUUUACACGUCUCUUCUGAACACUUUUUCAUACUCCAGAGGGCUUCUUGAAGUAUAGCUAUCUGAAAUGGAACCUGUGUUACAUUAAAACGUAGUCAUUUCCCAAGAAUGGCAUCCUUCUUGGGCCCUGUUUUCAUUCCUUUAUUACCACAAUCCUAAAGGCCAUUUGCACCUGUACAAAUUUGUCCUUGUUUAUUUCUCACUAUAUGAUCCUUGCAUGUUUCUCCGCUAAAAAUUAUCAAAAUUAUCGGAACCCAAUGUAUAAAUCAACUAUAUAAAGAGUCCAAAUUGGCUGGUAAAAUGUAACCCUACCCAAUAUUCAUCACUGCACUAAUUCUAUCAUCUUACGUGUCCUUCCACGUAUUUCCAGCUGCAUCCAAGGACUCGGAUUACUCUGUAACCUCAGUGCCAGCACAGCCCUGCUGCUGAUCUGUAAGCAGCAGGGUGUAAGCAAGUGUGUGAACCAGCCAAGAAAUAGAUACCACCCACCUGUGCACUGCAGCCCCAUGAGGUCUUCAGGGAGUGCACAGAACAGCAGCUUUCCCCAAAGGGAGCUCUGAGCCCCAGAAGAAGUACCUGAGCCUAUGAUACCUAAAAAAUCUUAUCACUGUCGCUGGCUUUACACAGAAAGAGAGUAAACAGAAGUGGGUGGUAAAGUAAGUGAAAGCUGUAACAAAAAUCUGUACAGUGUGUUAUCACAAGGUGGUACUUGGAGGUAAUACUGGAAUGAAAUGUGACAUAUGGGGCACAACUAUCUGAACCUCACCUGAUUUGGACUGAAAACAAAAACAAACAAAAAACAACCCACAAACAAAAAGGAAGCAGGAACCACAAAUAGCUUGCUAGGAAGACAAGAGCUGGUGCCAAACUGACAGUGCCUCAUUUAUGUUCUUACAACAAGUCCUGGAUUUUCAAUUAUCUUUCACUAUUGCUUCCUUGCUGGGCACCCAAGUGUCUCUGCUUUCAAAAUGGAGACAGUAUUAUCUACCGUCCCUACAAAGAGGAAAAAAAAAAAAAAACCUGAAGGAAUGGGCAUCUCUAUUCCUGGCCAACAGAGCUGCAUUUAUCAAAAUGAACACACAGCAUUAUAGGAGCCUUAACUCAUACCAAGUCUGUGUGACAUGAUAACAAGUGUCUAGUUAAUAGUCUGGCCUUCCUAUUAAGUUCAAAGUGAAGGAAAUCUUUGUGGGGCAGCAGAUAACGAGAGAUGAUGGUAAGGAAAUGCCUUUUAAAGAAAAGGAUGCACCCACCCCAGAAUUCGAACAGUUCUGUUGGAAGUGACCUACAGAGACCACCCAGUCCUGAGCGCUUCAGGGCUAACCAAAAGCUACAGCACGUCACUGAAGGCAUUAUCCAUCUGCCUCCUGAACACUGACAGGCACGGGGCAUUGACCAUCUCACCGGGAAGCCUGCUCCAGUGCCUGACCACCCUUUCAGCACAGAGAUUUUCCUAAUGUCCUGUCUGGGGCAGCUCUGUGCCAUUCCUGCACAUCCUGCCAGUGCUUCCAGGAGCAGAGCACAAAGCUGCACACAGUACUCAAGAUGUGGCUGCAUCUGCAUCAAACCCAGCAGGACAACCACCUCUGGUGACAGAAGGCUGUGCUGAGUUCAAUGCAAACCAAAAUGCAGUUGGCCCUCCUGGUGGCCAGGGCACGCUGCUGGACCACAGUGAGGCUGAUGGCAACACAGCCUUCUGAAUGCUGCCUGCUCCUCCCAGCUUAGGAUAUACAUAGAUAUAAAUAUCAGACAGUGGUACAUGUGCAUAUGCUCUUUCAUUGACCUGAAGUAACGUGACUUUCAUGCACACAUAUAUCCUAAAAAUAUGAGCAAUCAUCACGAAAAUAUGCACAGUACUUUUCUUUAAAGAGCAAAGUGCUCCAAACUGAAAAUACUACAUAGUAAGUAUUGAUGGCACUUCCAAGUCACUUACGUUUAAGAAGAAAAAUGAGAGUGAUGCAGGGGAGCUCAGUUAUCAGUCAUCAGUUAGGAGCACUUACUGGAAAUUAAAAAAAAAAAAGAAAAACACAAAACCACAACAAACAAUAACAAAAUCAUAAAAGAUUCUUCUUUUAGAGUGAAAAGUAAUGGUAUAAUCAAAAUAGAGCUGAGUAAAUAAAUAAUACAAAUGACCUUGACAGUUGCUCACAUUGCAAUCUCCGCUAUAUCUUGCUUUCAGUUACAGAACUUAAUGUGACUGACCCAAGACCAAUGAUGAUGCAACAGAAGAGUUUUACAUAGCGUUUCAGUAACAGAAAUGUCCCGGAAAUGAUUAUGAUUCACACCUCAUUCAAUAGAUAUGAAAAUGUAGAUAGUUGUUGACAAUGAGCAGUCAUGUUAAGAAGGAAUGUUUAGAAAUACAUCACAGAAGAUGCUCGUGGUUUAUACUGGUGACAAAAUAAAGAAAUGCCAAUUACUACAACUGCUCCUACUUAAAGGUGCUAAAGUCAGAACUCUUCAAAUUGGUGGUGAGGCCCUGGCACUGUCCUGGAGGUGCCCAUGGGCAUGGAUGGUUCCCUGGGCAACCUGAGCAGAUGGGGUUGGAAUAAAUGAUCUUUAAUAAAUGGAAAUAAAUGAUCCCAUCCAACCCAACCCCCCCACAAUCCUAUGAUUACUGUAUGAUCCAUUCUGUUCUUUAUAUUACAG